rnacentral:rRNA from 1 species
AUUGAACGCUGGCGGCAUGCUUUACACAUGCAAGUCGAACGGUAACAGGUUAAGCUGACGAGUGGCGAACGGGUGAGUAAUGCAUCGGAACGUGCCCGAUCGUGGGGGAUAACGCAGCGAAAGCUGCGCUAAUACCGCAUACGAUCUGAGGAUGAAAGCGGGGGACCGUAAGGCCUCGCGCGAUCGGAGCGGCCGAUGUCAGAUUAGGUAGUUGGUGGGGUAAAGGCUCACCAAGCCAACGAUCUGUAGCUGGUCUGAGAGGACGACCAGCCACACUGGGACUGAGACACGGCCCAGACUCCUACGGGAGGCAGCAGUGGGGAAUUUUGGACAAUGGGCGAAAGCCUGAUCCAGCCAUGCCGCGUGCAGGAUGAAGGCCUUCGGGUUGUAAACUGCUUUUGUACGGAACGAAAAGGUUUGGGCUAAUAAGCUGAGCUCAUGGCGGUACCGUAAGAAUAAGCACCGGCUAACUACGUGCCAGCAGCCGCAGUAA